GUGCUCGCUUCGGCAGCACAUAUACUAAAAUUGGAAUGAUACAGAAAAGAUUAGCGUGGCCCCUGCGCAAAGAUGACAUGCAAACUCGUGAAGCGUUAAUAUUUCUG
rnacentral:snRNA from 1 species